CAUUCAUCUAGGGUUUUGUACCACAUUACGUACAAUUCUUGACGGCAGAACUCUUCGGGCUUGGUUGGUCCUCUUUUCGCCGGAAUCAGUUUCAAUAUAAUGACGCUAUAAAUUUCUUGCUAUCAUGGAAAAAGAGAUUAAAGAGACAAAGGUGAGUUUGAAGCUGUUAGUAGACACAGAGGGAAAGAAGGUUUUGUUUGCUGAGGCUAGCAAAGACUUUGUGGAUUUCCUUUUCCACAUUAUGGAAUUGCCGCUUGGAACUGUUGUGAAACUCGUCAAAGUCAAGGACAAAAAGCAUUGAGUCUCUCAAUGGUAUUGGUGACUACUUGCAAGCAGAUGUUAACAGAGACUCGGUGUUGAAACCAAAAUCUGCUGUCAGUGUUCCUUUGUUGUCGUUAAAUGAUGCCCCAACAUUCUACAGGUGUUAUCGAUGUACUAGCUAUGUAUCUAAGGACCCUAGUACAAAAUGUCUACCAUUUCUGCUAUUACUCUUCUGAACAAGUUCCAUGUCAAAGAUAUCUCUUCCCUCAUGGAGAAAGAGGUUCAACUUGGUUUUAAUGAGGGGGUGGCAAUUCUUAAGGCAUCCUUGGAAACUCGAUCUGUGCUGUCUACUGUCUUCCUGGGAAACAAUUAAGGUUUAUGGCUUCGAGUGUAUUUAGGUUUGCUCACCCUGCUUGGGGUCUCUUCAGUAUCUCUUAAAAGUUGAAACAACGUUCAUGCUCUUUGUCUAAGUACCGUGAUCAUCAACUACUGCUAGUUUUCUGGAUUAGUUGUUGUUGGAGUUUGGUUUUCAUUUUUCAAUGCUGCAAUUCUAACUGUAGCUGCGUUAUCUUGUUAAAUGCCUUAUAUAUGUCUUGUGUACUCUGUUUUUUCCUCACUUGAUCGAUGUUUUAG